GUUCUCGUUACAUCACCGAAGUGAAGCAUCAUUGGGCGCGGUCAGUACUUGGGUGGGUGACCACCUGGGAACACUGCGUGCCGUU